UUUUUUUUUUUUUUUUUUAAGAUUUUAUUUAUUCAUGAGAGACAGAGAGAAGCAGAGACACAGGCAGAGGGAGAAGCAGGCUCCAUGCAGGGAGCCCGACGUGGGACUCUAUCCGGGUCUCCAGGAUCACGCCCUGGGCCAAAGGCACUCAACCACUGAGCCACCAGGACUGCCCUAAUAAUGACAUUCUGUGCCAGAAGACAAUGAAGUAACAUAAACUUAUUCAGGAUUUUAUAUUCCAACGAAAUUGACUUAAAAAGAGAGAGAGAAUGUGGGAGAAAGCACAAGCGGGGAGAGGGAGAAGCAGACUGCACCGAGCAGGGCACCCAAUGCAGGGCUCGGUCCCAGGACCCCGGGACUGUGACCUCAGCUGAAGGCAGACACUUGACUGACUGAGCCACCCACAUGCCCAACAAAAUUGACUCAAGUAUAAAGCCACAAGCAAACUAUCAUCAAUAUGCAAACUCAUAGAACAUUGUUUCCAGGAUCCCUGGACCUGAGGAAUCUACCAGAGAAUGAGUGUCGGAUAACAACUUGAUUGGAGGGCCAUUAAUACAAGGGUGGUAGUUUUACAAGUAUUAAGAAGGAAUAAUAAAAUUAGAAUAUCACUCAUCUGAAUUAAUGUGCCUAGACAGUGAUCAUCCGUGACUACUGCUGCCACCACAAAGACCCUAGACCUAACUGCUCAUUUCUGGAAAGAUGGGGUCAGAGGAACAUAUUAACCUAUUAAACAUGAUUGGGACGUAACCAGCAAAAUCCAAAUCCUGAGAGACUACACAGGACAAACACUUUAAUAAAGACCUAAAAAGGAAAAACUAAAAUGACAGAAGAUUCUAUAAACUUAGAAGUAGGAGUCAUGUCAACGAAUUGCAGUACGCACAACUUGUUUGGAUCCCACUUGAAACAAAUGUGAACACUGGAUAUUUGAUAAUAUUUAAGAAUUGUGGGUUUUUUUAAGAUUUUAUUUAUUUAUUCAUGAGGGACACAGGCAGAGACCCGGGCAGAGGGAGAAGCAGGGGAGCCCGAUGCAGGACUCGAUCCAGGGUCUCGAUCCAGUGUCUCCAGGAUCACGCCCUGAGCAGAAGGCAGGCGCCCAACCGCUGAGCCACCCAGAGAUCCCCCCCCUUUUUUUUUUGCUUAUGUGAUUUUUAAAAAGUCACUGUCUUUUAGUAGAUAAAAUUAUAUGAAAUCUGGAACUUCAAAAUAGUUCAAUGGAGGAGGAGUAUGUGAGGGUUGAGAUGAAACAAUUGGCCAUGAUUUCAUAGUUGUUGAAUCUAGGUGAUGUGUACAUAGGGACUCAUAUGGUUACUCAACUUUUGUACGUGAAGUUUUCUGAAAUGAAAACUUAUUUUAAAAUUUUUUUUAAAAAAGAUUUUAUAUAUUUAUUUGAAAGAAUGAGAGAAAACAUGAGCUGGAGGAGAGGCAAUGGAGAGCAGGGGGCCCAACAUGGGGCCCAAUCCCAGGAUCACGACCCAAGCCAACUCAGACACUCAACCAACUGAGACACCAUGCACCUGGGUAUAACAAAAUUAUUUUUUAUUUUUAUUUUUUUAACAAAAUUUUUUAAGUGAUGAACUACUACCAAUUAUAAUUUAUGCCAGGAAUGUAAAGGUGUUUCAAUAUUAGAAAACUUAUUAAUGAAAACAUAACAAAAUAAUAUAUUAAGAAAGUAAUAUCACUAAACACUAUAAAAUUGUUGAUAAGGCUUUAAUAUUUGCACUCGAUUUGAUUUUAUUUUGUUUUCUUUUGUUUUUCUAAGUAGACUUCACACCCAGCAUGGAGUGGGGCUUGAACUCAAGACCAUGAGAUCAAGACCUGAGCUGAGGUCAAGGGUCAGAUGUUUAACCAACUGAGCAGCCCAGGUGCCCCUUGUACCUGAUUUUAAAUAGGCAAAAUUAGAAUAAAAAGUUAAUCUUGUUAAUGAAAUAUAGGUUAUGUUAGUAUUAAUAUAUAUGUAUAGAUCUAGCCGAUAAUUAAAAUACUAGGAGCACUGCUCCCAAAAAUAUCAGAAAUCUACCAACUAUUAAUUUUACAAAAUAUUUUAAAAUUAGACUGGAUUUAGAUAACUAUAGACUCAGAUUAAGCUAUAGGAAAUAAUAGAGAUCACACAUAUCUUUCACCCAGUUUUCCCUGUGGUAACAUCUUGCAUAACCUAAUACAGGAUCACAAUGGGAAAUCAAACAUUGAUACACUCUAUCAAGGUUAUUUAGCUAUACCAGUUUUUCAUGUACCUGUGUGUCUGCGGUUUUAUCAUGUAUCCCUUCUUGUAACACUGUAAUCAAGAUACAAAACAGUUCUGUCAAUACAACAAUCCUCAAGUGACACACUUUUAUAAAUACAUCCACCUUCCACUCUCCCUUCUCCUGUCCCUAACCAUUGACAACUACUAAUCCAUUAACCAUCUCUAUAAUUUUGUCCUUUCAAGAAUGAAUGUAAUCAUACAGUAUGUAGCCUUCGGGGUUGUCUUUUUUCAUUUGACAUAAUAUCCUUAAAAUCUGUCCAAGUUACUUUGUCUAUCAACAGUUUGUUCCUAUUUAUGCCUGAGUAGUGCUAUUAAUUUACUACCGUUUGUGUAACAACCCUUGCAUUGAAGGACAUUUGGAUUUUUUCCUGUUUUGGAUUAUUAAGAAAUAAAUGCCACUUUGAA
rnacentral:lncRNA from 1 species